GGCCUCGUAGCUCAGUUGUCUAGAGCGUUGUCUGUACUAAAGCCUUCCCCUUGCUGGUGUGGGUUUGAAUCCCACCGAGGUCA
rfam:Schistocephalus solidus strain NST_G2 genome assembly, scaffold: SSLN_scaffold0003890